rnacentral:rRNA from 1 species
UGAGGAAUAUUGCGCAAUGGGCGAAAGCCUGACGCAGCCACGCCGCGUGCCGGAAGACGGUCCUAUGGAUUGUAAACGGCUUUUGGGAGGGAAGAACGACCGGGUUUCGAUCUGGUGUGACGGUACCUUCUGAAUAAGCACCGGCUAACUCCGUGCCAGCAGCCGCGGUAAUACGGAGGGUGCAAGCGUUGUCCGGAAUCAUUGGGUGUAAAGGGUGCGUAGGCGGGUCUUUAAGUCUGGGGUGAAAUCUUGCCGCUUAACGGUAAAAUGGCCCUGGAUACUGGAGGUCUUGAGUGCAGAAGAGGCAGGUGGAAUUCGUAGUGUAGCGGUGAAAUGCAUAGAUAUUACGAAGAACAUCAGUGGCGAAGGCGGCCUGCUGGUCUGCAACUGACGCUGAGGCACGAAAGCGUGGGGAGCGAACAGGAUUAGAUACCCCCGUAGUCC